UCACAUAACAUGGGGAGCCCUUAAUCCUUGGGCUGAGAGGAGGGUUUAGAAGCCCUCGACCCGUUGAACCUGAUCCGGAUAAUACCGGCGUAGGGAUGGUUAUUUCGAAAUCAU
rnacentral:ncRNA from 2 species